AUGCGUGUAUUUCUCAUUUAUUGGAAACUGAGAGCAGAGCAUGCCGCUCAUGGCGUGCACGAUCCGAGAGAUGUGCGUGUCCAUCCCCACGCACUGGCAUCGCCCGGCCAUGGCGGCAUGCAGGUAACUACACUACUUCGCGCACGAUUGGCACAGCCCGGCAUCUGUGCGCAUGCAAGAACAAAUGAAAACAAACAUGCUUAUCUAAUUACAGCACAUAGGAGUUUCUAACAUGUAUAUGGUAGUGCAAGUGAUGCUUUGCUAUGGUCUUGGUAAAUAAUAUGUAAACAAACUGCUCCUUAGAUCACCUCAUUAGCACUCGAUGUCUCAACAAAGCACUGUUUGUACAUAACUAGAGAAACUAUCCCAACACCUAAACCUAACGGCAGCACUGAUCUUUUGUGUAAAACUAUCCCAACACUGUACCUUGUGAUCAGUGCUUACAAGCAGAAUACAGCCGUCAAGAUUGAGCAGAUCACUGCACUGCUGCUAGCUAUAUCGAUAGUUGUCAAACAUUGGGUCUUCCUAUCUCCCAGGAUGUGUUGCUCCCUGCUGCCCUAUCGAUCUCCAUGACAGCCUCUGAAGGUACUAGGGUUGCCAUAGACAAGUUCUGGUUCACCGACGACACCAGAAAUUGAGCCUACUGUGGUAAACUGAGCCCACUUGCUUCACCAGAUUCAUUCUCAGCUGUCCCUUAGAACAAACUGUGCGUAAGACAACAUCAAAUUGAGCUUGUACCACGAGCUGGAUCAAGCUCGUGGCUCUCAGGUCGUGCCAGAGCCUCCCAAAUCGAGCUUUAAUGGAACCUUGGCUGGGGAACGGAUAUGAGUAGCACUGGCCAUUUAGGCCUAUACAGUUUCUUUGACUUGGACUGUGUUAUGUGGUAGGUUGUCUCUAUAUAUGUAUUUCAUCAUUUACAGUGGCUUGGUUUCUGUCCAUCCUCCAAGUUGUGUUGUUUUACCAUUAAUACUUAUAGUGGAAACUAUUAUCGUUUGAGAUUGUUUAAG
rnacentral:lncRNA from 1 species